rnacentral:rRNA from 1 species
UGCGGAGGAUGCGAGCGUUGUCCGGAUUUACUGGGCGUAAAGGGAGCGUAGGCGGAUUUUUAAGUGAGAUGUGAAAUACUCGGGCUCAACUUGAGUGCUGCAUUUCAAACUGGAAGUCUAGAGUGCAGGAGAGGAGAAUGGAAUUCCUAGUGUAGCGGUGAAAUGCGUAGAGAUUAGGAAGAACACCAGUGGCGAAGGCGAUUCUCUGGACUGUAACUGACGCUGAGGCUCGAAAGCGUGGGGAGCAAACAGG